UUCAACGGCCGCGGUAUCCUAACCGUGCAAAGGUAGCGUAAUCACUUGUCCUCUAAAUAGGGACCAGUAUGAACGGCUAAAUGAGGGCUAUACUGUCUCCUUUAGUUAAUCAGUGAAACUGAUCUACCAGUACAAAAGCUGGUAUUAAAACAUAAGACGAGAAGACCCUGUGGAGCUUUAAACCUAUGCCACAACAUAUGGNNNNNCAAAAACUUUAAGUUGGGGUGACUUCGGAAAAAAGAUAAACUUCCGAGCAUAAGAACCUCUAACAAAGGCUAACAGGCCAAAGCAAAAUAUGACCCAGUAAAACUGACUAACGAACCAAGUUANCCCAGGGAUAACAGCGCUAUCUUCUUCAAGAGUUCUUAUCGACAAGAAGGUUUACGACCUCGAUGUUGGAUCAGGACACCCAAAUGGUGCAA
rnacentral:rRNA from 1 species